rnacentral:lncRNA from 1 species
GGCAAUUACUGACCUUAGCUCUAUGCACCAUUAGGCCCCGAAAGAAAAGGGUAAGUACAAUAAUAAUAGCAAUAAUGACUGCGAUAUAAAGGCGUAAUUAAAAUGCUAAAUUACCAAACUCAAGUAUAAACGAUGUCAUGGUGAUGUACAUCUACGAUAUCCAAAUAGUAUGUCAUUAACCUUUAUGAAUACAUUAUGCAUAAGUUCUGUCAUGGCAACCAAGUAUGCUCUAAUGCAAAAGGAGACUAUCAAGUAUACUACAUGUCUCAACCCUAUGCUAUAAGCAUGUAAAUGUAAUCCAACUACUAAACCUACCUAGUAGUGAUUGUUCAUAUACAACACCGUGUCGAUUUCCAUUUCCAAUUAAGGACCUACCAAAGGUAGUCCAGCUUGUGCCGCCUAAGUGCCUGUGGUAGCCCAACAUUCCUACUCUUGGAAUGUGUCUGUCCCACUCGACCCCGUAGGCUUCUCAAUACCGCACGAGCGAACAUAAGUCGCUAGGCUAACUCCGGAGUGCCGGCUUGUGGGGAGCGACCCUCACAAGCAUGUGCGAAUAAGCACAAAUGGCAAGAAAGCAU